CAGCAGCGCGGUAAUACGUAGGGUGCGAGCGUUAAUCGGAUUUACUGGGCGUAAAGCGUGCGCAGGCGGCCCGUUAAGACAGGUGUGAAAUCCCUGGGCUCAACCUAGGAAUUGCGCUUGUGACUGGCGGGCUCGAGUACGGUAGAGGGGGGUGGAAUUCCUGGUGUAGCAGUGAAAUGCGUAGAGAUCAGGAGGAACACCGAUGGCGAAGGCAGCCCCCUGGGCCUGUACUGACGCUCAUGCACGAAAGCGUGGGGAGCAAACAGGAUUAGAUACCCUGGUAGUCCACGCCCUAAACGAUGGGUACUAGCCGUUUGGUGCGCGAUAGCGCUGAGUGGCGAAGCUAACGCGUGAAGUCCCCCGCCUGGGGAGUACGGCCGCAAGGUUGAAACUUAAAGGAAUUGGCGGG
rnacentral:rRNA from 1 species